GACGGAGGAUGCAAGUGUUAUCCGGAAUCACUGGGCGUAAAGCGUCUGUAGGUAGUCAAAUAAGUCAACUGUUAAAUCUUGAGGCUUAACCUCAAAAUCGCAGUCGAAACUAUUAGACUAGAGUAUAGUAGGGGUAAAGGGAAUUUCCAGUGGAGCGGUGAAAUGCGUAGAGAUUGGAAAGAACACCGAUGGCGAAGGCACUUUACUGGGCUAUUACUAACACUCAGAGACGAAAGCUAGGGUAGCAAAUGGG
rnacentral:rRNA from 1 species